rnacentral:rRNA from 1 species
AUUGAACGCUGGCGGCAUGCUUUACACAUGCGAGUCGAACGGUAACAGGUUAAGCUGACGAGUGGCGAACGGGUGAGUAAUGCAUCGGAACGUGCCCGAUCGUGGGGGAUAACGCAGCGAAAGCUGCGCUAAUACCGCAUACGAUCUGAGGAUGAAAGCGGGGGACCGUAAGGCCUCGCGCGAUCGGAGCGGCCGAUGUCAGAUUAGGUAGUUGGGGGGGUAAAGGCCCACCAAGCCGACGAUCUGUAGCUGGUCUGAGAGGACGACCAGCCACACUGGGACUGAGACACGGCCCAGACUCCUACGGGAGGCGGCAGUGGGGAAUUUUGGACAAUAGGCGAAAGCCUGAUCCAGCAAUGCCGCGUGCAGGAAGAAGGCCUUCGGGUUGAAAACUGCUUUUGUACGGAGCGAAAAGGUCCUUUCUAAUACAAGGGGCUCAUGACGGUACCGUAAGAAUAAGCACCGGCUAACUACGUGCCAGCCGCCGCCGUAAUAC